rnacentral:rRNA from 2 species
UGCAUGGGCCGUCGUCAGCUCGUGCCGUGAGGUGUUGGUUAAGUCCCGCAACGAGCGCAACCCUUACCCUUAGUUGCGACCAGGUUAUGCUUGAGCACUCUAAGGGGACUGCCGGUGACAAACCGGAGGAAGGUGGGGAUGACGUCAAAUCCGCAUGGCCCUUAUGUCCUGGGCGACACACGUGCUACAAUGGCCAGUACAGAGGGUUGCGAACCCGCGAGGGGGAGCCAAUCCCAAAAAGCUGGUCCCAGUUGGGAUUGCAGGCUGCAACUCGCCUGCAUGAACGCGGAAUCGCUAGUAAUCGCGUAUCAGCUACGGCGCGGUGAAUGCGUUCCCGGGUCUU